AAGCCAAGUGUGAUUGAAAGAGUGGCAGCUUUUGUGUUCAUAUAAACAUGUGCAUGGAUUUGGAAAUAAUUAAAUUUAAAGUAGCACCACAAUUAGAUAAAAACGAAUGCAGGACCACCUGAAAGCAGAAAACUGUGUUUUAAACAAACAUGUCUGAGGAACAACAUAUGUCCACAUCGACUGCCAAUCCACAUGAGCACCAAAGACCUGUUUCCAUGAGAAGUGACAUGUCCAAAGGGGAACCCCCAGACUUCAGUGAUAAUAAACCAAGUCCACUUGAGCACCAAAGACCUGUUUCCACGAGAAGUGACAUGUCCAAAGGGGAACCCCCAGACUUCAGUGAUAAUAAACCAAGUCCACAUGAGCACCAAAAGACCUGUUUCCAUGAGAAGUGACAUGUCCAAAGGGGAACCCCCAGACUUCAGUGAUAAUAAACCAAGUCCACAUGAGCACCAAAGACCUGUUUCCAUGAGAAGUGACAUGUCCAAAGGGGAACCCCCAGACUUCAGUGAUAAUAAACCAAGUCCACAUGAGCACCA